AUUAGAGGGCAAGUCUGGUGCCAGCAGCCGCGGUAAUUCCAGCUCUAAUAGCGUAUAUUAAUAUUGUUGCAGUUAAAAAGCUCGUAGUUGAAAUUUGGGACUUUAUUAUAUUGGUUUACCUUUUGGUGAACUAUAUGAUGGGUUUCUUCCUACUAGAGUUCGAUUCUGUUCUUAACUGAAUGGAGUAGCUAUCUCUCGGGGUAGUCAAUUGGUUGUUAUAUCUCCACUAAUGAGCGGAGAGGAGUAAAAUCUUCAAAGUGAGUUAUGUGGGUCAAGGUAUAGUGAUUAAUUGGAGUUCUAGUUCAUUUACUUUGAGAAAAUUAGAGUGUUUAAAGCAGCCUCUUGGGGCACUGAAUACAUUAGCAUGGGAUAAUAAAAUAGGAUCUUCACAAUAUAUUUUAUUGGUUUAAAUUGGAUAUGAAGAUAAUGAUUAAUAGGGACAGUUGGGGG
rnacentral:rRNA from 1 species